rnacentral:rRNA from 1 species
UACGGGGGGAGCAAGCGUUGUUCGGAUUUACUGGGCGUAAAGGGCGCGUAGGCGGCCAGCACAAGUCAGUUGUGAAAUCUCCGAGCUUAACUCGGAAAGGUCAACUGAUACUGUGCGGCUAGAGUGCGGAAGGGGCAACUGGAAUUCCUGGUGUAGCGGUGAAAUGCGCAGAUAUCAGGAGGAACACCAAUGGCGAAGGCAGCUCGCUGGGACGUGACUGACGCUGAGACGCGAAAGCGUGGGGAGCAAACAGG